CGUUCGCGUCAGACGUUCGUUCGGCCGCUCGGCUCGUGCGAGCCGUUGUUAGCCGUUGGCUCGUCUUUUAUCCACACUUCUCGCAUUUGGCAAGCGCCGUCCUUUUUCAGUAUUCAGUAUGAAAUUGAGUUUUGUGUAGUUAAGUCGGAAUAUUUCGUAUGAUUCUCGUCGACUAAAAAACAAAAAACAACAACAGAAACAACAUAAGCGUGUGUGUUUAAAUACUGGAAAACACAGAUAAGAUAAAUUUACAUACACACGCACAACAACAACAACAACAAC